UACGGGGGGGGCAAGCGUUGUUCGGAAUUACUGGGCGUAAAGGGCUCGUAGGUGGCCAACUAAGUCAGACGUGAAAUCCCUCGGCUUAACCGGGGAACUGCGUCCGAUACUGGAUGGCUUGAGGUUGGGAGAGGGAUGCGGAAUUCCAGGUGUAGCGGUGAAAUGCGUAGAUAUCUGGAGGAACACCGGUGGCGAAGGCGGCAUCCUGGAUCAAUUCUGACGCUGAGUGAGCGAAAGCCAGGGGAGCAAACGGG
rnacentral:rRNA from 1 species